rnacentral:rRNA from 1 species
AAUGAACGCUGGCGGCAGGCCUAACACAUGCAAGUCGAACGGAUCCUUCGGGAUUAGUGGCGGACGGGUGAGUAACGCGUGGGAACAUACCCUUUGGUACGGAAUAGCCUCGGGAAACUGGGAGUAAUACCGUAUGUGGUCGAGAGACGAAAGAUUUAUCGCCAAAGGAUUGGCCCGCGGUGGAUUAGGUAGUUGGUGGGGUAAUGGCCUACCAAGCCGACGAUCCAUAGCUGGUUUGAGAGGAUGAUCAGCCACACUGGGACUGAGGCACGGCCCAGACUCCUACGGGAGGCAGCAGUGGGGAAUCUUAGACAAUGGGAGAAACCUUGAUCUAGCCAUGCCGCGUGAUCGAUGAAGGCCUUAGGGUUGUAAAGAUCUUUCAGGUGGGAAGAUAAUGACUGUACCACCAGAAGAAGCCCCGGCUAACUCCGUGCCAGCCGCCGCGGUAA